rnacentral:tRNA from 8 species
GCGGAAGUAGUUCAGUGGUAGAACAUCACCUUGCCAUGGUGGGGGUCGCGGGUUCAAAUCCCGUCUUCCGCU